rnacentral:rRNA from 1 species
UACGUAGGGUGCAAGCGUUGUCCGGAAUUAUUGGGCGUAAAGAGCUCGUAGGCGGUUUGUUGCGUCGGCUGUGAAAUCCCGAGGCUCAACCUCGGGUCUGCAGUCGAUACGAGCAAACUAGAGUGUUGCAGGGGAGACUGGAAUUCCUGGUGUAGCGGUGAAAUGCGCAGAUAUCAGGAGGAACACCGGUGGCGAAGGCGGGUCUCUGGGCAGCAACUGACGCUGGAGGAGCGAAAGCGUGGGGAGCGAACAGG